GGGCCCGCACAAGCGGUGGAGUAUGUGGUUUAAUUCGAUGCAACGCGAAGAACCUUACCAGGGUUUGACAUCCUGCGAAUCUCUUGGAAACAGGAGAGUGCCUUCGGGAACGCAGUGACAGGUGGUGCAUGGCUGUCGUCAGCUCGUGUCGUGAGAUGUUGGGUUAAGUCCCGCAACGAGCGCAACCCACGUCUUUAGUUGCCAGCAUUUAGUUGGGCACUCUAGAGAGACUGCCGGUGAUAAACCGGAGGAAGGUGUGGAUGACGUCAAGUCAUCAUGCCCCUUACAUCCUGGGCUACACACGUACUACAAUGGUAUCUACAACAGGAAGCAAGACGGCGACGUUAAG
rnacentral:rRNA from 1 species